UAAUUUUUUCUAUUAGGGAUAAGCUUAAUAGAAUUUCUUUAAAUAAAAAUUAUUUAUUUAAAUAAGGAAUAAAAUUUUCUAAGUUUUUUUGUAAAAAAUUUUUUUAUUAUUCAAGUUAUGUAAGAUUUUUAUAUGAUUAAAUUAAUUUUUUUUUUAAUAAAAUUAUUAAAAAAUUAGUAAAUUUAAAAAAAAAGUAAUGAAAAAUUAAAAUAUAUUAAUAAAAUGAAAAUUUAAUUAUAGUAAUUCGGCAAAUUAAUUUAAUUGACUGUUUAUCAAAAACAUUUCAUCUUGAAAAGUAAUAAGAUGUAUAAUCUGCUCAAUGAUUUUUUAAAUUGCUGUGGUAUUUUGACUAUACAAAGGUAUUGAAAUAAGAUUUUAAAUGAGUGCUAAGAGAAUGAUUAAACAAUUAAAAGCUUUCUUUAAUUAAAAAGUUAAAUUUAAUUUUUUUAGUGCAAAAGCAAAAAUAAAAUUUAGGGACAAGAAGACCCUAUGAAUUUUUAUUGUUAAUAAUUAAAAUUUAAGUUAUUAAUAAUUUAAUUGGGGCGAUAAAAAAAGAAUAAGUAUCUUUUUAGUUAUAAAAUAAGUUCCGUUUUUAGCGAUUAAAUGAAAUAAAUACUCUAGGGAUAACAGCGUAAUAAUUUUGGAUAGUUCAUAUAGAUAAAAUAGUUUGCGACCUCGAUGUUGGAUUAGGAUUC
rnacentral:rRNA from 1 species